CUUAACCUAAUUAUUUCUCCAAAACAACCGCCUUUAAACUCUCUCCUCUUCUCAGACUCUGUCUAAACACUCGAAACCCUAGCCGACUAUAUCGUCAUCUUCGAUCUGUUCUUACCGGCGUCCAUGGCUUCCCAGGCCAUGGACGACCUAUACCCUCUUCCCUUCACCCCAUACCAUGAUUAUUCGGAGAUUUCAAGGUCUGUUCUUCAACAGAGCUGUUCAGGUCCUCCACCGAUCUGAGUUCUUUUGGCUUCUACGACUCCGUUUCGGCAUGUUCAAGCUCUGAAAGGUCUAUCCAUGGCCCAGACCUACUCUAGACCAGAUCUUUCCAGGCCUUAUCGUUUCUAGGGUUUUUGAGAAAUCCUAAUAAAGCUUGUUCGAGGUUCUAUCUUUCCUUGUUUUCUUAGAUCUGUAAUAGAUCUGUGUUCUACUCGAUAUUUUAAUGAUUUUCCCCAAUUUUCCUUUUUAAAAUUAGUCUGCUAAAAAAUUAGAGUUUUCAAAAAAUCCAAAAACGAUUCUUCUUCUCUUUCUUUCUUUGUGUGAAUCUGUGUGUCCAUGUCAUACUUAUGUGUUUUCAUCCAUUUUAUGCAUGUUUUUACUCCUUUACUAACUCUACUGGUUUUUACAAGUAUGAUUCACACAUUUAUCAUGCAUGACUUUCUAUUGUUUCUCCUAGUAAGAUUGUUUGCUUCUAUUGGAUCUUUUUGGGUCCAAAAUGUUUUUCUUUUACUAUUUCCUACGCUCUAUGACUGAAUUGGUUCGAGGCCUUUUAUCUUUCUUCUAAAACUUGUUCUUUACAAACUUUCACUCUACUCCUUGUAGUUUGCUAUGAAUGUUAGGGUGUUUCCUCGAAAGAGUUCCCUAAGCUUGUUGUGAGGGCUUGCUUUCUCUUUUCUACUCGGAUUGAAACCCUGUGUUGGGAUGUUUGCGAGUUUUGGUUCUGGGGUUCUACUCUAGAAACCCUAGGCUCUCAACUCGCACUGAGUUUAUAGACUGAACUGAAACUUGCUUUUACCUAUGAUUCUGAAACUGUUUGUGCCGAUCUUUUCUUUCUUGUUUGAUGCUGGUAUGCUUUAUAUGCAAGGGUUUCCCUCUGAAUUGAUUCUGUUAGCAUAUGAUUGAUUUCAAUCUCCUAUUACUAAGGAUCGAUUGAUUUGCUAUUGAUUUUUACAACUUAACCUCUUCUCCUCUUUUCAUGACUAAGUUCAUUCAAGACUUUUAAUUUCUGAUUGUUUGAUUACUGUAUUUUCCUUAUUUUCUCAAAAUGUACUGUGGAUUCCUUACCUUAAAUAAGUUAUAUGAACUUACCCCUAUUAUGCUACUCUUAAAAGGUUUUCAUUAUUUUCCUUUCCUUAAUUACUCAUUCCCGUUUGAAAUAAAAUUUCUUUGACAAAGGGAGAUCCUAUUUGAUUGACUGAAAUUUUAUUUCCUUGCCUUUUGUUUACUCAUUUUUGUAGUAUAAAAAGGGAAAACCUUUUCAACUGUGAACAAGCUCUUGAACACAGUUCUUUUCUGCACCUUUGUAGUACACAAUCAUCUAUGUCUUCGAAAUACACUGACUACUACUCUCUUUACUACUACUCUCUCUACUCCCACUUUCUCUACUACUCUUUCUCUCUGAGCACUUUGCUCCUUUCUCUCCUACUGUCUGAAUAUUUCUGGAGUUCCUCUGAACUCCUAAGUACUUGCUGAAGUUUUUGAGUUGUUCCUGCUAACUGUCUGGUUGUCUACUUGCUGUUGUUUCUCUGCUAUACUAGAACUUAAAAAUGGUAUAUACUUCUAAGUUAAAUAACACUCUCCUACUAUGUGUAUUCACUUCUCUUGUUCUACACAUUCUUUACUGCGUGUUUAUGUUCUGUAGCAUAUUUUUCUAUGUCCUUGCAUCUUCAGUCUGGUAUGCUUUCUUAUAUUUUCCUUAAUGUCAGUGUAUGCUUUUGUUUGGAAAUCCCUUCCCUCUAUUCCUUUUUGUGUGCUAGUACUGUUCUGAAUUAUGGCAGCAUCUAAUAUUGAUGUCCAUGAUCUAGAAUCAGACUCUCCUGAGUCUCUACUCAAAUGCUUUCCUAUUCUCUCUCCCCUUUAUUUGUGGAGCUUUAACUUGGGUCUGGUAGUGUCCUAAUCAGCACUGAGACCCUAAGUUUGACUUCGCAGACUUUGCUUCUAUUUGUUUGACCUAAGCAAAGGGUCAGGGGUGUGUCAGCCUAUGCCAUGGCUGGGUAUGACCACCCUCUGCUAUAGUCCCCCUCUAACUUUUCACUCAUUCCCAGUUCCUAAGUUCUAUACCCCUUUGGUAUGUCAUGCUUAGGGACCCUGGAGUUCCCUCUGAACUUGGAUGCCUGAGGGCUGGUAAUUCCACACUUGCACUAUUCUGUUACAAUAUUACUCUUCAGAGUGUAAGCAUUGCAUGGGCUCUUGAACCUCCUUGGAACUUUGAAACACUCUGAAUAAGAGAAGGCCUUAGAUUCUGGAAUCCGGAUUUUGUGGAAUACAUGUUAUUUGAUAUUAAGAUUGAAUUAGGAUGCUCUGAUAUAGCUGUAGGCUGUGAUGUAUUUUUGUUUACCUUCUUUCUUCUGGUUAUGUAGUAAUCUUGUAAAAAGGGAACUCAGGGAAAUAUUAUUAAAAGGGUAUGGGAUGGGUUUAUAUUUACUUGCAUAUGUUAAAGGGUAGAUACUAUGCCUAUAGGAUCAAUAUUGUUGUUUAAUCAUUUAGUAUCAUGCCUAUAGGUUCAACUUUUAAAUCACCUAGAGAUUAUGUCUAUAGGCCUUUGAAUUCCUUUCAUUCAAUCAUUUAGAGAUCAUGUCUAUAGGAUUUAAUGUUCAACCAUGUUGCAAAUCAGAAAUCCUGCCUAUAGGACCUAAUAAUCAACUAAUUGCAUAUAGAAACCAUGCAUAUAGGGAACGCGCGAAUCUUUAGGAAAAUCCUACGGUAAUCAAAUACUCUUUUUCUUACCGUUUAAUAACAGUAACGAGUAUUAAGAGAAAAUUAAGGUACAGAUGUCCUACCCAUAGGGUUUCAGAGUCGCCCAAAUAUGUGUAAAUAAUAAUUCGGCCAUUGGCUUCAUCGUUUCAAACAAAGCGUCCAAACUUGUCUGCAAAUUUUCUAAACUUGCAUUUUUCUUUUUCUAAAACAUUUUUUCAACUCUCUGCUUAAAUUUUAUUCACCUCAUGGAGCUCUCUUUCAAAACAGGUUUCAAAUUCUUUCCCUUUUUUUUAAAAGCAUUCUUACUUCUGAAACUCUACUUUACCAUUUCGCUGAACUUUUACUGAAACAAUUCCGCUGAUUUUUCAAAGAUCCCUCUGAACUUCUGUGUUUUUCCAACCUUCUUUUUCAAACUCUUUUGCAUUAGGUUCUUAAUCAGUAACUUGUAUAAAAUACCUCAACUUCUGACAAUUGGAUCUGGGUUGCCUAAUGUAGACUUUUUAUCCAACUCUAUGUGUUAAACUAAUCUAUCCACCAUUUAAUUGUUAAAGACCAAAUGAGUAUCUACAAGGCAUGCUACUUGCCUAAUGUAGACUUUUAUCCAACUCUAUGUGUUACACUAAUUUGUCUGCCAUUUAAUUAUUAAAGACCAAAUCAGUAUCUGCAACACAUUCUACACUAAUUGCUAUGUUAUUCGUGGGGUUUAUGUGAGCCUUUCGUGUGAUUGUUACGUCCCUCAAUAUUUGCUACUUGUUUUGCUUGCCACCUUAGUCUUUUAUACUUUUGAAACUCCAUAUAUGCCUAUGCUUCCUUUCACCCCUUCUUAGGAUUAGGAGUCCUAAACCCUGGGACUUACAGGUUGGGACGUGUAUUAGCAUGUAAUAAGUAAAUGAUACUAAUCAUGUUUAAUACCUUAACGGGGUGAGAAUGGUAGAAUAUGGAUAUGAUGACUGGUGCUUCAUUAUCUCGUGUGAGAAUGAUUGCUGGGUAUUGCACCAAAGUGAUCCAUAUUAUAUUUAAACCCAGGACCUCUUUUCUUUAGUUAUAUGAUGUGAUGUUUUCUUAACAAUUUUAUGUUUUCUUCAACUAAUCUUUCAAAAAUCACUUAUGUCUUCUUUCUCUCUUUGCUUUCAAAACUUUUAACUUAUUUGUAUUCUCUAUGUGCCAACAUUGUUUGUUUACUUCUACUCUUCUUAAAGUCACAACUAAGUACGGCAGAGAACCACACUAGUGGAUCUUGAGGGGUGCCUAUCACCUUCCCCUCGAGAUAAUCUCAAGCCCUUAACCGAACUCUG
rnacentral:lncRNA from 1 species